GCAAUAAGAAUUUUGAUUUUCAAUUUUAUUUUUCUCGUUAAUGCUGACUGUGAUUUGCUUUUUAUAUUGGAGAUCUCAGGGCCCAGAUGCUCAGAAAAUUGAUGGGAGUUGUGAUCAUCCUUUCAUGAUGAUCACGAUGAUCAUGAUGAUCAGCUUACAGAGAGAGGCCAUCUGCCCAUAAGCAGACUUAGCAGAGAAAUCAUAAUGAAGGGAUGCAUCGAACUGUCUGAAAGGAGUUCAGAACCACAGGAUUCUUCUCUGCAGGUCUAGGGGGGGAUGUUUGAAGACAUCACCUGUCCACCAGUGCCAUCUUUUCCCAUUCUAUCCUCAGAAUUGCCAUCAACUGGACUCAAGGUGUGAGCUGUGAGCCUCCAUUCUGUGACCAAUGUGUGGAACCCUG